UGUAUAUCAUCACCAGCAUUAUGGGUCACUGCUCCUAUGCCUGUAAGAACCAGCCCCUCUUACCUGAAGUGCAGAGUAUACCUGGAAAUAGUUCCUAAUCAUCAUCUUGUAACCAGCAAGUCUACAGGUAAGAAAGGUUACUCAGUCAGUCUUGAGCCCUGUAUAGCUCUUUCUUCAUUUUUUCUCAAGUGCUUUAUAUAGAUUUGUUUUCUAUUGUGUUCUAUUUAGGCUGUUACAGACACACUUUUGCUAUUGUAUUUUGUUUGAGAAAAAUAGCAAAGAUCAAAUUAAGCAAAAUUUUAAGGUAACUGGGUAACAUCACCAACCAACAGUGUGUGAUGACGCUUAAAAAGCACCUCUUUAAAGCAGCAUGUAAGGACAUCUGAAAAAAAAACCAAAAAACAAACCCCAACUCAGUUCCUCAAUAAUACAAAGGUAACAGAACUAAUCCUCCAUUCAGCUCUAGUGGAAAGCUGCGGUACAAAGGCAAGGAAAGACAGAGCUGUCUCCCAGCACAGCGUAACAAAGAAAGCUCUUUACUAUGCAGUGCAGCGGUGCGCAUUCCAACAAUGCAAACCACGGGAGUGUGACACCGAGGGGUGUAACGCCAGCGCUGCUAUCCCGAAAGCGCUGAAUCUAAUCAUGGCAAUAAACUAUCCAAACCCAGCCUGUGCCGAUGAUCCCUAGCAGAGCUGAAAUCUGCAGGAAAGGUGUUGCAAGGCGAGUGUAGGAGUCAUUCCUAUCGCUCCUGGUCUUGGACUGCCUUUCACUGACACACUGGGAGAAGCACCACGUCUCUAAGAUGUAACUGUGCGGGCAGCAGUUUAAGGACACUGCUCUGUAAGGAUCAAGGUUCAACAACCUCGUAAAUCCUCCAGUUAAAGCAA